rnacentral:rRNA from 1 species
CUCAGGGAGGUAGUGACAAGAAAUAACAACACUGGAAAUUUUAUUUCUAGUGAUUGGAAUGAUGGGAAUUUAAACCCCUUUCAGAGUAACAAUUGGAGGGCAAGUCUGGUGCCAGCAGCCGCGGUAAUUCCAGCUCCAAUAGCGUAUAUUAAAGUUGUUGCAGUUAAAAAGCUCGUAGUUGGAUGUCUGCUGGAAGCAAUCAGUCCGCCCUAUUUGUAGGGUGUGCACUUGAUGAAUUCUGGCAUCUAUGUCCCGAUAAAAGGACGGGCGUGUCACAUUAGCUGUUGGGCGAAAGCUCAAGAGCGUGUGUGCGUCCGUUUAUUGGGAUAAUACUGUUACUUUGAGAAAAUUAGAGUGUUUGAAGCAGGCUAAUUGCCUUGAAUACUGCAGCAUGGAAUAACAAUAUAGGAUUUCGGUUCUAUUUUGUUGGUUUCUAGGACUGAAAUAAUGAUUAAUAGGGACAGUUGGGGGCAUUCGUAUUUAACUGUCAGAGGUGUAAUUCUUAGAUUUGUUAAAGACGAACUACUGCGAAAGCAUUUGCCAAAGAUGUUUUCAUUAAUCAAGAACGAAAGUUAGGGGCUCGAAGACGAUCAGAUACCGUCGUAGUCUUAACCAUAAACUAUGCCGACUAGAGAUAGGAAAAUGUCAUUUUGCUGACUU